rnacentral:rRNA from 1 species
GAUGAACGCUGGCGGCGUGCCUAAUACAUGCAAGUCGAGCGAACGGACGAGAAGCUUGCUUCUCUGAUGUUAGCGGCGGACGGGUGAGUAACACGUGGAUAACCUACCUAUAAGACUGGGAUAACUUCGGGAAACCGGAGCUAAUACCGGAUAAUAUUUGGAACGGCAUGGUUCAAAAGUGAAAGACGGUCUUGCUGUCACUUAUAGAUGGAUCCGCGCUGCAUUAGCUAGUUGGUAAGGUAACGGCUUACCAAGGCAACGAUGCAUAGCCGACCUGAGAGGGUGAUCGGCCACACUGGAACUGAGACACGGUCCAGACUCCUACGGGAGGCAGCAGUAGGGAAUCUUCCGCAAUGGGCGAAAGCCUGACGGAGCAACGCCGCGUGAGUGAUGAAGGUCUUCGGAUCGUAAAACUCUGUUAUUAGGGAAGAACAUAUGUGUAAGUAACUGUGCACAUCUUGACGGUACCUAAUCAGAAAGCCACGGCUAACUACGUG